CAGUUAUCAUUAUAAAAAAAAGUAUUAAAAAAAAGAGAAAAUUUAUGUGUUGCAAUAACAAAUUGCAAAUUAAAAUCCAAGAGGAAAACACCAGUUAGAGGGAUACAUUCUCAUCGAGGGAUAUAAUGUAAAAAUAUUGCAGUAAAAUCAAUAACGUUUUCUACGAUACAUAAACUAUGGGCUCGUAGCAAUCAUUUCAAGGUGAAUUGUCAUUCAUUCCUUAAAAGUUUAUGAGAAAAUCUUAUUUAUUUAAGGUAUUUUACAUUUUGAAUGCGAAUAAUCUAAACAUUUAUACCAGCUACAAUUAGCAUUCGAUAAAAGAUAAGCUGCAUAUUUAUUACUAAAUAAAUACUUCAGUAUUGCAUCGAAUACACCGAUAUUUCCUGAUGGAAUUAUGAAUAAUUCAUUUACAUUUGAUUUAUGACACGAUACUUCUUUCUCCUUACUAAACUGACUUUUCCUGCCAUCAAAAUUGUUUUAUA